CGUCCCAUUUUAAACGACUUUUUAUUACAUAUAUCUAUAUGCUUUUAACGCGUAUACACUCAUAUUUGGACAAAUUUGAGUCGUUUAAUUUCUAAAAAAAAAAUUGAGCGAGUAUGCAAUACUGCCUCGUGGAACAUUCGAGAAACGCAAGCAGCCGGUGACAGACAGGUGCAUCCAGAAUAUCCUAGUCCCAUCACCAAGCGCACGCAGAUUUCUUUUCCUUUCCCCAGAAAACGCGCACGCAGAUCCAAUUUCAUUAUGGCCCGCAUCAUUGUCGGCCUUAUUGGGCUUGGGCCGAGAGCACUCGCUCUCUGCUCGCGGCUUCCGCGCCAAUUCCAAUUUCAGAGGAAGGAAACCGGUCGGAGAAGUCUUUGACAGAAUAGACGAAAUUCAUGCUGGCGUUUAUUUCUGCUCGGCAUACAUCUCGAACCGAGUAAUCGGAUGGCCCUUACAGAAUCCCUUCUUCUACAUCACAAAAGGCAACUCAAAUCGUAUGGAUGGAUACGGCAGAAAGGAAAAUCACCGCGUGAGCCAGACGCCCAGACCUCCGAUUCCCUUGUUCACCUUGGCUUCACAUCACAGAAUCCUUUUUUCUUUUUCUUUUUUGCGCAACACAUCACAGAAUCCAAACGGCUAUAGCUGUGCUGAUGCUAAUGCUAUCGACGACCCGUUCGCUCUCGCGCGAACGAUACUUACAAGGACAGUGACAGCGCGUCGCCGUGAGAGAAGGUCUCGAGGACGGGCUGUGACGUAUCUGCCCAGUUGAACCAUUCACAUUCUGGCAGUGACAACGGUACUCACCACCAAAGAUGUUGAUUAAGGAGUGAAGAACAAACUUCAUAGCGUUUAAAUCACUUCCCGAUCGGACGUGAAAACGAGUUAUAUAAUUAUUCGUGGUGCGAAGAUCCAAGAAAACAAUGAAUUUGCUAACCAACAUACAUAAAGGAAGAAGAUAAAGAUGAAAGACGUACGCGUGACAAUUGACAACAAAAGGCUACACCGUGUAG
rnacentral:lncRNA from 1 species